rnacentral:rRNA from 1 species
AUUGAACGCUGGCGGCAGGCCUAACACAUGCAAGUCGAGCGGAUGAAGGGAGCUUGCUCCUGGAUUCAGCGGCGGACGGGUGAGUAAUGCCUAGGAAUCUGCCUGGUAGUGGGGGAUAACGUCCGGAAACGGGCGCUAAUACCGCAUACGUCCUGAGGGAGAAAGUGGGGGAUCUUCGGACCUCACGCUAUCAGAUGAGCCUAGGUCGGAUUAGCUAGUUGGUGGGGUAAAGGCCUACCAAGGCGACGAUCCGUAACUGGUCUGAGAGGAUGAUCAGUCACACUGGAACUGAGACACGGUCCAGACUCCUACGGGAGGCAGCAGUGGGGAAUAUUGGACAAUGGGCGAAAGCCUGAUCCAGCCAUGCCGCGUGUGUGAAGAAGGUCUUCGGAUUGUAAAGCACUUUAAGUUGGGAGGAAGAGCAGUAAGUUAAUACCUUGCUGUUUUGACGUUACCAACAGAAUAAGCAACGGCUAACUUCGUG